CCCAUUCCUUCUCCCUAUCCUUCUCCCUCUCCACCUCCAUCUCCGUCGCUGCAAUUAGACAGACCGACAGCCUCCUUCCGGUGGAAAUCAAAACCAUCGUCAAAGUCAAAUCCUAAAAAAGAGGGCGGUUACAAGGCUGGGCUUAUAUACUGAAGAAUCUGAUUAUAUUCUAGGCUAGCUGCUUUCUUUGGUAAGGGAGUAGAUACUUUAUAUGCCAUGGACAGGGAAUGGAUACGAAAUCCGAAUCGAGUGAGUAGGGAAUAUUUAAAUGGGA